rnacentral:rRNA from 1 species
AGUGAACGCUGGCGGCAGGCCUAACACAUGCAAGUCGAACGGCAGCACAGGAGAGCUUGCUCUCUGGGUGGCGAGUGGCGGACGGGUGAGGAUAGCGUCGGAAUCUGCCUAUUUGUGGGGGAUAACCUCGGGAAACCGGGACUAAUACCGCAUACGACCUACGGGUGAAAGCGGAGGACCUUCGGGCUUCGCGCAGAUAGAUGAGCCGACGUCGGAUUAGCUAGUUGGCGGGGUAAUGGCCCACCAAGGCGACGAUCCGUAGCUGGUCUGAGGGGAUGAUCAGCCACACUGGAACGGAGACAGGGUCCAGACCCUACGGGAGGCAGGAGUGGGGAAUAUUGGACAAUGGGCGCAAGCCUGAUCCAGCCAUGCCGCGUGGGUGAAGAAGGCCUUCGGGUUGUAAAGCCCUUUUGUUGGGAAAGAAAAGCAGCCGGUUAAUACCCGGUUGUCAUGACGGUACCCAAAGAAUAAGCACCGGCUAACUUCGUGCCAGCCGCCGCCGUAA